GUCACAACACUUGAGAAGAUCUCAGUGAAAGAAAAUUAGUUUCAAAAUUUAGUACUCUAGGACAUUUUUUGAAUUUUUUUCAUCGAGUUAUUCAAGGACUGAGGUUAUGGCAUUCUAGUGUUUCUCGAGUUUCUGCUUUCAAUUUCAUUAUUCAGGGUGAUGAGCUCCUGAAAAUAUUAGGAAGAUCAACUCUAUCUAUCAAGAAGGGUCAGUGCCUCAUGCCUCUGAAUGCUCUACCCUGUAAGCAUGUUGUGGUAUUUCUUUCAUACUCUUACGCUUUAUCCAUAACUGGACUAUUGUAUUGAUUUCUUUCUUGAAAUUUUAUCAUAAUCACGAUUUUGUUAACUUGGGUCCAGAAUUUAGUUUAGCUUAGAUGACUUCUACACUGCUAUGAUAUUGUCCUUUGUAAUAUCAUCUUGUAAGUUUAUCUUAAAUACACUACUACGAUGAUGUUGCUUAUUACUGUCUUCUUAUUGUUUUUAAAUUUGUCUUUCUCAGAAAUGAAACAAUUGUCCGUGAAUUUUUAAAUUUUACAUGGGAAAUUCGUGGGGAAUGACUAAUUAUCUCACUGUUUGAUGUAUGCCCAUGUAGAUUCCUUGGAUUGUUUGUUGUUAGUUUGUACUUAUUUUGUUUUCUCAGCUUAGACGACUAGUGCGGUGGUGCUUAUUAAGUUAUUCUAGGUAAAAGCUACUAACUAGUUCUAUUGAUAUGAUUUUCUCAAUCAUGGAAUGCUUGAACUGGACAUAUACCAUGAAAGUUGUGCCGGACAACAGGCCUUCUGGUUGAAACUAUGAUGUGUGUUGCAUCUGAUGGUCAAAACUUACAAGAACAGUCAAUGGAUUGAUUUCCCUGAGAACAUUGUGUCAAUGGCUAAGAAAGAUCUUUGGAUAAAGAGAUCUGGGACGGAGGUGGUGUUCAAUGGUAAUAACUAUGUGCUAUAUUUCUUCCAUAUGAUGCUAUUGGACCUGAAGUCAGGGAAAUGGAGGUGAUCAAAUUUGAAGGGUCGCCACAAGUCAAUUUGAUCUCGUUGAAGUGGAAGUGGAUAAUGAAGAGUUUUUGAACUAUUGU